rnacentral:lncRNA from 1 species
GUUUUGCCAUCAGAUGUCCAAAGGAUUUUGAUCAAUAAUACCCUUGGCUAAUGGGAGUGUGGAAAUUUGCAGUUUUAGAGACUGUUAGAAAUAUAAAUUGGAAUAGCCCUUUUAGAAGACAUACGGCACAAUAAUUACUGAUGAGGAUGCUGUCACAGGCCAGCUCCUGAAGAAAUGCCGGAGGUCUUCAGUCUGGCUCAGUCACCUGCCCUGUGCACCCAUAUUCCCUGGAAAUAUACUGCCAGUCUCCACAGCCGCUUCUAUUUCCUGAACGCUAACUAGGUAUCAGACUCUGCGCUGGGUGCUUCACACAUAGCUUGCUGAAUUCUUUUCCACAGCUCCGGAAAAAGAGAUAAUUACUGUUACUACUUUUCAAAUGAGGCUUAGAAAAAUAAGUAAUCAGCCCGGGUCACAGAGAUGGUAAAGUGGUUGAACUGAGCUUAUAACAUAGAAAAGUUUGACCCCCAAACCUUUGCUCCUUUUUCUAUUUCAUGCUUUAUAUCCUAGAAUUGCAAACAUUUUUUCCUGCAAGUAUAAAAGACAUAUGCUUCUCUUUCUCUCCUUGGUUUGGAUUUAUAAUGUACAGAUAUUAAUUCAUUUAUCCAACCAAUAUUUUUGAAGUGGCAGUGCUCUGUAAGGCACUGUCUAUCCUAGGUGCUGAAACACGGUGGUAACCAGGACCAACACUGCUGCGGCCCUGGUGGAGGUGCAUGAUAGCCCACGUACAGCUGUCUAAAGAUGAGCAACUGGGGCUGGGGAUUUAGCUCAGCGGCAAAAGCGCCUGCCUGGCAAGCGCAAGGUCGUGAGUUCGGUUCCCGGUACCGGAGAAAAACCAAAACCAAAAAAAAAAAAAAAAAAAAAAAAAAAAAAAAAAAAAAAAAAGAUGAGCAACUAUGCAAGGCCUUGUUAGCAGCUCCUUACUCAAUUCCAGCAGCUUUUUCAAGACCAAGGCGACAGCCAGAUCCACCUCUGAAGAGCAGGCAAACUGCUUUCUGCCUCACACUUGCCCUCAAAGGAGUGACAGUUUUGUCAUGA